rnacentral:rRNA from 1 species
GUCGACGAUGAAGCUGGAGCUUGCUCUGGUGGAUUAGUGGCGAACGGGUGAGUAACACGUGAGUAACCUGCCCUUGACUCUGGGAUAACUGCUAGAAAUGGUAGCUAAUACCGGAUACGACCCUCGGAGGCAUCUCCAGGGGGUGGAAAGAAUUUCGGUCAAGGAUGGACUCGCGGCCUAUCAGCUAGUUGGUGAGGUAAUGGCUCACCAAGGCGACGACGGGUAGCCGGCCUGAGAGGGUGACCGGCCACACUGGGACUGAGACACGGCCCAGACUCCUACGGGAGGCAGCAGUGGGGAAUAUUGCACAAUGGGCGAAAGCCUGAUGCAGCAACGCCGCGUGAGGGACGAAGGCCUUCGGGUUGUAAACCUCUUUUAGUAGGGAAGAAGCGAAAGUGACGGUACCUGCAGAAAAAGCACCGGCUAACUACGUGCCAGCAGCCGCGGUAAUACGUAGGGUGCAAGCGUUGUCCGGAAUUAUUGGGCGUAAAGAGCUCGUAGGCGGUUUGUCGCGUCUGCUGUGAAAUCCCGAGGCUCAACCUCGGGCCUGCAGUGGGUACGGGCAGACUAGAGUGCGGUAGGGGAGAUUGGAAUUCCUGGUGUAGCGGUGGAAUGCGCAGAUAUCAGGAGGAACACCAAUGGCGAAGGCAGAUCUCUGGGCCGUUACUGACGCUGAGGAGCGAAAGCGUGGGGGAGCAAA